rfam:Oryza glaberrima chromosome 8 Oglab08_0068_3, whole genome shotgun sequence.
AAUAAGUGCAGUUUUGCACUAUUCAUGUCUAACGUUUGACCGUUCGUCUUAUUUGAAAUUUUUUAAUGAUUAAUAUUUUUAUUGUUACUAGAUGAUAAAACAUGAAUAGUACUUUAUGUGUGACUAACUUUUUUUAAUUUUCUCAUAGAUUUUUCAAAUAAGACAAACAGUCAAACAUUGGAUACGGAUUACCACCGCUGCACUUAUU